GUCUGCUCAAGCUGUUCCUAUUCCACCUCCAAGAGUACUCCUCGUUCUGUUGAGUCUGUGUCUACCAUCGAGGUCCCGUAUUAAUCCUUUCCAGUGAGAAAUCUUGGUGGCGCCUCAUCUGUUGGACGUAAUU